GGGGUCAUAGCUCAGAUGGGAGAGCGCUUGAAUGGCAUUCAAGAGGUCGGGAGUUCGAUCCUCCCUGGCUCCA
rfam:Rhodobacter sp. CACIA14H1 contig00210, whole genome shotgun sequence.